UUCUCCAAACCAUUACAAAUCGUAAUUUCUUUAAAGUCUUUGAAUGUGCAAUUUAAAAAAAAAGUAUUUAUAAAAAAUAUUUCCGGUAUGGAACGAGUUGUGUCAAACUACUUCUUUUUUAAACUGCCGUAAAUGGUUUCGGCCGGAAGUAGACGCACUUUCGCGCAUGCGCGGAACAAAUCGUUUUACCGGGACGGGUAGGGACACCGCCCUUCCGUCUCGUUAUUGAUUGUUAAUUAGUUCAUGUCCAGCACCUCUCCCUGUUUGAUUUCUUCCUCUUUAAAUAGUCCUCAUGUUUUAUUGUCCUGUGUCGGUCAUUGUUCCCACAGCCAAGGAGUCUUCAAAGUCUUUUACAUCAAGUAUUGAAAAAGUUUUGGCGCCUCUGCUCUCGAGUGAACCCCACGGAAAUAUGUCAAAGUUUAACCCUCCGGAGCGAUUUCCCUUCAACAAUCCAUUAGAAUGGCCCGCAUGGAAGCAGCGGUUUUGUCGCAUUAGAACAGCAACGAAACUUCACAAAGAUGACGACUCUGUACAGGAUCUCAUCCAGAUCGAUACGAUCCCCUUGCAGACAGGCUUCAAUCAAAUUGCAGCAUUCGGUUAAGGAAGAGCGAAGAGACGAUUAUAACUGGAACUAACUACAGUUGGUCUGAUCUCACCUUCAGUCAAGCUGUGUUUACUCCAUGAGUUUUCAUUGAUCUGGUCCAGGUCUGAAUCUGUGGGAAAUCUCAUGCACACCAUGAGGACCACAGACCAUAGGACCACAUCCAGCGAGUACACUGUCGCCGGCUUUCCAUAGUACUCGCCCCAUUCAAAGUAUUCAGGGCAGGGUUAGAUCACUGUGCGAAAACAAAUAAGCUAAAAACUAUCAAAAUCCUCAUCUAAGUGUUUAUGUAAACUCUUGUUCAUUAGGAGUUGAUAAAACAUACCCAUAUACUCCUUGUAAGCUGAUCUUUUAAGCAGAUCACCGCACCCGAAGUCAAUCAUUUUGACCAGCAGCAUGUCCGGGUUAAUCAGGAGGUUUUCCAGUUUUAUGUCUCUAUGGAAAACCCCCCGCUGGGAGCAGAUUUCAGCUUCAAAAGUCGCUUGCCCCAUGAUAACGUGCGCAAUGUACUCUGUCACUCUGCCUCCGUUGACUUUCAUGAAACUGGUCAGGUCCAUGCAGGGAGAUGGGCUCUCCAGGACCAUGAUAUAUCCGUCCGAAUAGUCCUGCCAGUCCAGAAACUGGAUGAUGACAGGAACAUAUUCUCCCUCACAGGCAAGCAUCUGAAGACCGACCUCUUGUGGAAGAGGCUCAGGAUGACCCGGCUAGAAGAAAAACAAAUGUUGUCAUGAAUAGAUGAAGGUGGUUAAACAAACAAGGAUUUAGUUCAGUCUCAAACAAACUGUGAAGAUGUUUUCAAUUGAAUAUUAACACAAUCUACUUUGAGGAUUAUAUGAAUAUUCUAUCACAUUUUUGGUCUUGACCUCAAGUAUCACUGCCACCUGAUCAACAAAACAAAAAAUGGAUUUGUGUAAGCGUUCAUCCUGAACUGAACUCUGCUAUAAUACAUUUAAAGUGUAUAAACAUGUCAGUACCUGAAAUCACUUGUUUAAGGAUCUAAUCCAGAUCAAUACGAUCCUCUGGAUCCUUCACUCAAAUCGCAGCAUUCUGUUCAGAAAGAAGAGACGAUAAUUCCCUUAAACUGCGAGUUUAUCUGAAUGUCACUUUAAACUCUCAUUCAUCAUCUUAGUCAACAAUUUUAUCAAAGCACUUUCUAUCAUUCAGAACUACAGUUGGUCUGAUGAUCUCGCCUUGAGUCAAGCCGUCUUUGUACAAGAUCCUUUGGUCGCUCAAGUACCGGUCAUUAUAGUUGGAAAAUUUCCCACACACCAUGGCGAACAGAAGCGCCCCAAGCAAGUACACUGUCCCUGGCUGUCCGUAAUACUCGCCCGUUUUGAAAACUCUGGGCAGGCGUAGUCUCUUGUGCCGGAAGAAAACUCAUUUCAUAUCAUUUAACCAUAUACAUUGACACUAAGUGAAUCUGAAUGCUGUCAUCAUUUCAGACACAUCAUUUACAUUUGUAUAAAUAAGAUAACACGCCCAUAAACAUCUUGUAAGAUGACCUUGUAAGCAGAUCGCUGUACCCAAAGUCGAUGAGUUUGACAUAUAGGGUGUCUGUUAUGAGGGGGUGCUCCAUUUUGAUAUCACCGUGGAAAACCCCUCGUCGGCAGCACUUGUAGAUAGCUGUGGUCGCCUGCAACAUGAUGUCGAUGGCCAAAUCCUCAUUGAGUUUUCCCCCGUUGCUCGUAGCAAAAUCAUGAACAUCCACGCAAGGAGAGGGGCGCUCCAGGACCAUGACGUAGAGGUCUGGAUACACCUGCCAGUCCAAGAGCUGGACAACCUCAGGAACGAUUUCUCCCUUACAGGCAAUCGUGUGAAGAGCAACCUCACGUGGGAGAGACUCAGGAUGACCCGGCUAGAAGAAAGACAACAGCAUCUGCAAGACUGUGGAAUUGUGUGCAUGUAAAAAGUGAUGAAGUUUUCAAUUGAAGAAUAAUGGGUACUACUAACGAUUUUGAUAUAAUCCAGAUGCUUGAACAUAUCGUAACGUUUCACUGCCACCUGAACAACAAAACAAGGAUUUACACUUAAAUCAUUUCAUUCAAAGCAUUCAUUUUAACAAUAUUUGUAAUCUAACAUACGAGCAGAAGUGUAUGUUGGGAUUAUGGAAGUAAACUCGCCCUGAAUGACCACGCUGGGCUCCUCAUCUUCCUCCAUCUCCUCCUCAGCCACACUGACUGAUGCUGGCUGGAUUUCUUUAUCCCAAUCCAACUCUUCCUCCCAGUCCGACUCUAUAGCUACUGGAUGGUAUCCAACAGUCAAGUCCGACCCAAAAUGCACUUGCACAAGUGGCUCAUAAAGGACUGGAUCCUGUACGGAUUCAACCGUCGAGUCUGACCCAAUAUGCUGCUGCACAUGGGUCUCCGAAAGGACUGGAUUCUGUGUGGCAUCCAACAGUCGAGUCCGACCCAAAAUGCACUUGCACAAGAGGCUCAGAAAGGACUGGAUCCUGUAUGGAUUGGCACCUGGCAGUCCAAGAGCUGGACAACCUCAGGAACGAUUUCUCCCUUACAGGCAAGCAUGUGAAGAGCCACCUCACAUUGAAGAGGCUCAGGAUGACCCGGCUAGAAGAAAGACAACAGCAUCAUUACACAGUUUGGAAAAACUGAAGACAGUGGAAUUGUGUGCAUGUAAAAAGUGAUGUUUUCAAUUGAACAAUAAUAGGUACGACUAACGAUUUCGAUAUAAUCCAGAUGCUAAGACGUAUUGACACGUUUCACUGUCACCUGAAAUAAAAACAAACAAGGAUUUCUAGUUGAAUCAUUUCAUUCAAAGCAUUAAUUCUAACAAUGUUUGUCAUUUAACAUACGAGCAGAAGCGCAUGUUGGGAUUAUGGAAGUAAACUCUCCCUGAAUGACCACGCUGGGCUCCAUCUUCCUCCAUCUCCUCCUCAGCCACACUGACUGAUGCUGACUUGAUUUCUUUAUCCCAAUCCAACUCUUCCUCCCAGUCCAACUCGAUAGCUGAUGGAUACUGGAUGGUAUCCAACAGUCAAGUCCGACCCAAAAUGCACUUGCACAAGGGGCUCAUAGAUGACUGGAUCCUGUACGGAUUCAACCGUCGAGUCUGACCCAAUAUGCAGCUGCACAUGGGUCUCCGAAAGGACUGGAUUCUGUGUGGCAUUAUCAGUCGAGUCCGACCCAAUAUGCACCUGCACAUGGGUCUCCGAAAGGACUGGAUUCUGUGUGGCAUUAUCAGCCGAGUCCGACCCAAUAUGCAGCUGCACAUGGGUCUCCGAAAGGACUGGAUUCUGUGUGGCAUCAUCAGUCGAGUCCGACCCAAUAUGCACCUGCUUCAAGGGGCUAAGAAAAUAAUCCUGAGUGCCGAGGAUCUCCAGGUCACUGGAUUUCCUGAAACUCUGUAGUGACAAACACGCACAAUCAAAUCAAAGAACAUUCAUGAAAUAAUCAACACUUGAUGUUGCGUUCAUAAAUCCAGCAAGAUACUGAAAUUGACAAAUUUCACUAUUUUUUUUAAGCUGAUUGCUGUCUAACUGUUGUCAAGAGAGAAGGCAUUCAGACAUGUGGCUAUUAAAAACACUUUUCUGGGUUGUUUUGGAAGAACAUCUAUAAUAGUUUAUUAAAUAAAUGUACCAAAGAAGUUGAAUAAUUUAUAAUAAUAAAGAAUCCUUAACUAGUGUAAAGUAGGCUUUGUACAAAUUGUUUUGGGGGAAAAAGAGAACUAAUGUUGACCUUGUUUUCUGCAGUGAAUGUUUUCAAUAAAAGCAGUUGUCCUAUUUUUUUCCCUUUUAAGUCUCAGAAAAUGUUAUUUAUAUUGGAUACUAUAUAUUGAUUAUAGGCUUCCAGUGUCAAAUAAUUAUCGUUAUCAUUAUCGGUCAUAAUGUAUAUAGAUCAUUAUCAUUAAAGACGUUUUGGCCAUUAUUUUUCUGGAGGGCGCUGGCCAAAAAAAAGGUUGAGAACUACUGCUCUGAGGGACCAGCACCACUUCCCCUUUUGAAGAAUUUAUCUUCAAUAAUCUCAAAUUAAGUUUUGGGACUGUUAGUUCAUCUUCAACUCUGACAGCUCUUUGACUUGAACUGGUGCUUGUACCUCAAAAUCACACAAAGUGUGUUCCUUUUUGUGAAACGAAAAGGAGAGUCGCAGUUUGUUUUGUUUAUUUUGUAUAACAUAAUCGAUAAUAGUGAAUCGCGUCUGAGGGUGUCAGUCUCUUAAUGUUCUAUCCCUUUGUGUGCAACACUUAAUUUUUACAUUUGGACUAUAUUAUUUGGAUAAAGAGUCUGCCAAAUGCGUUAAUAUUAGCCUAAUUUACUUUUAAACUGUACCUCUGUGUAUUUGAGAGUAAAAUACUUUUAUUUCAGUCUUGCAUAGAAGGUUUGUAUGCUCUAAAUAUGUAUUUGUUGAUGUAUAUUUUGUAUAAAUAAUAAAGCAAUGUAACAUAAUGUGAUGUUUA